UACGGCGGCCAUAGCGGAGGGGAAACGCCCGGCCCCAUUCCGAACCCGGAAGCUAAGCCUCCAGCGCCAAUGGUACUGCACCUUAAUCAGUGUGGGAGAGUAGGACACCGCCGAAC
rnacentral:rRNA from 1 species